AUUGAACGCUGGCGGCAGGCCUAACACAUGCAAGUCGAGCGGCAGCGGAAAGUAGCUUGCUACUUUGCCGGCGAGCGGCGGACGGGUGAGUAAUGUCUGGGAAACUGCCUGAUGGAGGGGGAUAACUACUGGAAACGGUAGCUAAUACCGCAUAACGUCGCAAGACCAAAGAGGGGGACCUUCGGGCCUCUUGCCAUCAGAUGUGCCCAGAUGGGAUUAGCUAGUAGGUGGGGUAACGGCUCACCUAGGCGACGAUACCUAGCUGGUCUGAGAGGAUGACCAGCCACACUGGAACUGAGACACGGUCCAGACUCCGACGGGAGGCAGCAGUGGGGAAUAUUGCACAAUGGGCGCAAGCCUGAUGCAGCCAUGCCGCGUGUAUGAAGAAGGCCUUCGGGUUGUAAAGUACUUUCAGAGGGGAGGAGGGUGUUGAGGUUAAUAACCUCAGCAAUUGACGUUACCCGCAGAAGAAGCACCGGCUAACUCCGUGCCAGCAGCCGCAGUAAUAC
rnacentral:rRNA from 1 species